GUAUCAUUUCCCCGUUCUUGCGAAAUUGGUGGUGUGAUGUCGUGAAUUCGUGCUAUCUUCUAGGGAUUUGUGAUCGAAUUGAUUUAAUUCAACGUUUUGUUAUCGAUGUUUAUGCUGGGGGCACUUCUGCGGUUUGGAUCCGUUGCCGCUUGGGUUUUUCAUCUGAUUGCAAGGAUGGGUGCAGUGGUUGUCUUGGGCAUGAUACUGAGCCCCAAUUGAUUUCCUUAUUUAGCUGUUCAAUUGGCAGAAUACAUCGUCCCUGGCCAGCUAAAAAUUACACCAUUCCCAAGAAAUUUAGACAGCCUAUUCUCCUGAGAUGGACCAUGGAGAAGUACUAUCAUAUGGAUGCAUCUCUUCUGAAAAUGUGCUUGAUCAGCUGCAUGAUGUUCAUGUGCUGCAUCUUCGAUCAAAUAUUGUAUAUUUGUUAGUCACGCAAUUGGUCCGUACUCAGGAGCUGAAAAGAUGUACAAUUUAGUGAUAUUGAUGCCUGCUUGCUUGGUUGACAAAUGACUGAAUGUAGCUUCUUGAAGAAAUGUUGUAUAGGUAUCUCUAAAUUGUUAUAUUACUGAAACAAGGUUGUAUUGUAGCCCAACAUAGCAAAUUGUUCGAGAUUUGUUGCAAUAUUUCUUACAAUUAUUAAAAGUAUGCUUUCACUGCUGUUAAAAAAAUGCUGGAAGAAUGAGAAAUCGCUUCAGGCAACUUCUUAACUAAUGUACUAGGUGUUUCAUAUAUGUGGAUACGCAUUGAUUACUCGCACAGAUAAGAUUGAUUCAGUGCACGUUACGACAAUACAUGUACAUCCUCUAAUUCUUGGUACUGCAUUUUAGCUUAUGUUCUAAUUGUAUUUUGAGUAACAAAUAUUGUGGCUUGGGGUUGAUUCCUCUCUAGACACUCUUCAAUUCACCAUUGUUUUC